UCAACCCUCAAGCCCCUCGGCUUGGUUUUGGACGGCCUGGUCGGGCGACCGACCCCUCCUAAAGACAAUGACGGCGGCCUGGAUUGACCCCCGGUACACUGAGCUUCUUAACCGAGCACGUACUGGAUUUCUAGCGGUCGACGGGACCCGGUCUACACCUAUUUUUCUUCAA
rnacentral:misc_RNA from 1 species